GAUGAACGCUAGCGACAGGCUUAACACAUGCAAGUCGAGGGGCAGCAUAAAAGUAGCAAUACUUUGGUGGCGACCGGCGCACGGGUGAGUAACGCGUAUGCAACCUACCUAUCAGAGGGGGAUAACCCGGCGAAAGUCGGACUAAUACCGCAUAAAACAGGGGCACCGCAUGGUGAUAUUUGUUAAAAAUUUAUUGCUGAUAGAUGGGCAUGCGUUCCAUUAGGUAGUUGGAGAGGUAACGGCUCACCAAGCCUACGAUGGAUAGGGGAACUGAGAGGCUCGGUCCCCCACACGUGGUACUGAGACACGGACCAGA
rnacentral:rRNA from 1 species